AAAAGACCCUGAUGCUAGGAAAGAUUGAGGGCGGGAGGAGAAGCGGGUGACAGAGGAUGAGAUGGUUGGAUGGCAGCACUGAUUCAAUGGACAUGACUUUGAGCAAACUCCAGGAGACAGUGAAGGACAGAGAAACCUGGUGUACUGCAGUCUAUGUGGUUGCAGAGUCAGACACAGCUUAGCAACUGAACAACAACCAGUAACAAAGACAUAAGGAUGGCUCUGGCAAAAGGCAACCAGGACACCUGCCACCUGCCCCUCUCAAUGUCCCUAAUGGGGUACCACCCCAAAGCCCUAGUGGUGGUCAGUGUGGCUAGUUCCUUUUCAAUUAGUGCUCAGAUUUUGGAAGCAAGUCUAAGUGAAAUUUCUCUUCCUGGUAUUAACAAAUCAUUGAAGCCCUCCUUUUCAGGAAAUCCUCAGGACCCAAAGGAGCAAGCCUGGUGCCCUUAGUGAUAGAAUUUCGGGCAAGGGAGUAGACCUAGUGGAGGCAGACUUUUUUCUCUCCUCAACAAAAAAUCCAAAUUUCCAUGGGGUUACUUGGCCUUUCCUCCUUGAGUUACAGAUUUAGUCCAUGCCAGUCUCUUUCAAAUUAAAGCUCUCUUCAAAUGUAUGAUUGUCUGGCCAGCUCCUGGAACACAGCAAAGGUAUUCAUCUCCAGAAGACUUAUCUCAGCAAGCUCUCUCGUUAAUGACCAUGCUCCUCGCCCACAAGGCCUUGGCAGUGACUAGCGACACAGGUGGCCCACAAGGCUGUGGAGUAGGAUCGCAACCUUCGGAUCUGUCUUAGACUUUGUCAGCUGGGAGAGGAGCCCAAACUGAAGCCAGCAGCUGCCUGUCAAGGGAAGGAGCGCCUGCAGUGCCUCUGAGUUCCAGGCUGUGCUUCAAAAGCGGCUGCCAGCCCAAGGUGUGAGGCCAUACCAGUGGAGCCAGAAGCAGCUUUGCUGACUCUGCUCUGCUUCAAGGCUGCUUAGGGACCCUAAGCUGCUUGGGGAGUGAAUUCUGUCCUGCAUGUGCCUCUGGGGAAUUUGGGUGAUAGGAGGAGUAGGAUUUGGGACUAAUGAUACAGUCAGUUCCCUAUUGCUCCAGCUUGUUUUGUUUUGGGUUUUUUUUUUUUUUUUCCCAGCAAAUAUAACUAUAGACAGUAGUUUUAAGAUGUUUUAACUGCUCCAAAGUUGCUUUCUUCCAAAAAUUGGACUGUAUGUUGCUGAGAAGGCAUUCAAAGUCAUUCCCAGUAUACAUCUGGCUUGAGUCCUGCCCUCACUUCAUCUGCCUACUGGUGAUUGGGCCAAACUUUUGUUUUUAAUCAAUUUUUAUUGGAAGACAGUUGCUUUGAGCUUCCCUGGUAGCUCAGUGACCAAGUUCCUACCUGCAGCACCCAGGGUAGGUAGUCUUCCCAACAGGUAGCUUUGCUCAUCCUCGGAGCCAAGACAGUGGUGCAGUCUGACCAGGUAACUCCGUGAGGAGUAGCUCUCGGCCUGCUUGGAUCCUCAGACAAGAUGUGCUGGGCACUGGAGCUUGGCCUGCCACUGCCCAGACAGAGAGGCUGAGUCAUAGCCUAGCCUACUGCUGAGUGUACAUGACCAGGAACACCUGGGGGACU
ensembl:lncRNA